rnacentral:rRNA from 1 species
GACGAACGCUGGCGGCGUGCUUAACACAUGCAAGUCGAACGGAAAGGCCCUGCUUGCAGGGUACUCGAGUGGCGAACGGGUGAGUAACACGUGGGUGAUCUGCCCUGCACUUCGGGAUAAGCCUGGGAAACUGGGUCUAAUACCGGCUAGGAGCCAACUUUAGAGAGAUGGUUGGAAAGUUUUUUCGGUGUAGGAUGAGCUCGCGGCCUAUCAGCUUGUUGGUGGGGUAAUGGCCUACCAAGGCGGCGACGGGUAGCCGGCCUGAGAGGGUGGACGGCCACAAUGGGACUGAGAGACGGCCCAGACGGCUACGGGCGGCAGCAGUGGGGAAUAUUGCCCAAUGGGCGCAAGCCUGAUGCAGAGGCGCCGCGUGGGGGAUGACGGCCUUCGGGUUGUAAACUCCUUUCGCUAGGGACGAAGCUUUUUGUGACGGUACCUAGACAAGAAGCACCGGCUAACUACGUG